UAUUUAGUCUCUGUUUCCUCCCUUCUCUGUCAGUUCAUUUUUUAGUCUUACCUUUGCGUUACGUCUUACUGUGUCACAGUGCUCUCAUAUUUCCUGUGGAUCUUUAUUUAAGAAAAGCUGCAGAACUGCCACCACCUCAUGAGAGCCCUCCAUCCGUCCCCUGAGACUCGGCACUCCACUGAGAGAUCCUCCGGUGCUGCAAAUGAACACUGCUGUUACCUCAAAUGAAACAAAGCCUGUAGCUGUAGAAGUGAAUCACUCUUUGAAUUCAGAAUCUCAUCUCUGUCUCUUUGUGCUGCAUUUUACCCUCCUCUAUUUUAGCUCCUAAUUAGACUCCAGAGUUCCAAAGAGGCACAGGAGAUUUUACAGGAAACGUAUUUUACACCACCGCUCAUUCAAAAGACGACAAGGAAGACAGAACAUCCUACUUGAAAACAUGCUGAAGUUUUGGAAUUCCCCAGAUAUCAAGAGCUGCUUUUUCUGUCAUUUUGGUUUGAGGUACAAAAAAAAAAAAAAAGUUCAUGUUUCUUUCAACUGAGAGAGAAAUGUAAAAACUUUCAAGUCAGCUUAAAUAUAUUCAACAGAAAAUCAGAGGAGUCAAGAUGUAUUAAAGUAUGUAUGUGAAAUAUGGCAAGAGAGUCAAGUUAACUGAAAACAUACAACAUCACAAAAGUCAAUAUCAUCCAUGAUGCUUUCAUCGUGUCUUUCAAGUACCUUAUUUCACUAAAUGCUGAAGGUCUGGAGAAGAACAUAAAAAAUAAUACAACACUGACUUUCCUCCUUUGGUGAUGGACAGCAAGAGAGCCUCACCAAGCUUUGAAUGUAACAUGCAUGUCAUUUGUGCACUGACACAGUAACGUGGUCAUGCUGAAAGACAUAAUAAGGCCUUUGUGCUGCAAGAAUAAAACUUCAAACUGAAACACAUGAGUUUAAAAUCUGUGCUGGCUGACACAUAUACGUACUGUACUUUGGUGACUGUUUCACAAACUGCUGUGAGACUGGUUCACGAGAGGACACUGCUGCUUUGAAAACGGAUUAAAUCUGCUGCUUGAUGUUUUUGCAGCACCUAAAA